UACAGGGGGUGCAAACGUUGCUCGGAAUUAUUGGGCGUAAAGCGCGCGUAGGCGGCCACUUAAGUCGGAUGUGAAAGCCCCUGGCUCAACUGGGGAAGUGCACCCGAAACUGAAUGGCUUGAAUGCAAAAGAGGGUCGCGGAAUUCCCGGUGUAGAGGUGAAAUUCGUAGAUAUCGGGAGGAACACCAGUGGCGAAGGCGACUACCUGGCCUGUUCUUGACGCUGAGGCGCGAAAGCUAGGGGAGCAAACGGG
rnacentral:rRNA from 1 species